rnacentral:rRNA from 1 species
UGGGGAAUUUUGGACAAUGGGCGAAAGCCUGAUCCAGCAAUGCCGCGUGUGUGAAGAAGGCCUUCGGGUUGUAAAGCACUUUUGUCCGGAAAGAAAUCCUUGGCUCUAAUACAGUCGGGGGAUGACAGUACCGGAAGAAUAAGCACCGGCUAACUACGUGCCAGCAGCCGCGGUAAUACGUAGGGUGCAAGCGUUAAUCGGAAUUACUGGGCGUAAAGCGUGCGCAGGCGGUUUGCUAAGACCGAUGUGAAAUCCCCGGGCUCAACCUGGGAACUGCAUUGGUGACUGGCAGGCUAGAGUAUGGCAGAGGGGGGUAGAAUUCCACGUGUAGCAGUGAAAUGCGUAGAGAUGUGGAGGAAUACCGAUGGCGAAGGCAGCCCCCUGGGCCAAUACUGACGAUCAUGCACGAAAAGCGUGGGGAGCAAAACAGGAUUAGAUACCCUGGUAGUCCACGCCCUAAAACGAUGUCAACUAGUUGUUGGGGAUUCAUUUCCUUAGUAACGUAGCUAACGCGUGAAGUUGACCGCCUGGGGAGUACGGUCGCAAGAUUAAAACUCAAAUGAAUUGACGGGGUCAUA